rnacentral:rRNA from 1 species
UGGGGAAUAUUGCACAAUGGGCGAAAGCCUGAUGCAGCGACGCCGCGUGAGGGAUGACGGCCUUCGGGUUGUAAACCUCUUUCAGCAGGGACGAAGCGCAAGUGACGGUACCUGCAGAAGAAGCACCGGCUAACUACGUGCCAGCAGCCGCGGUAAUACGUAGGGUGCAAGCGUUGUCCGGAAUUACUGGGCGUAAAGAGUUCGUAGGCGGUUUGUCGCGUCGUUUGUGAAAACCAGCAGCUCAACUGCUGGCUUGCAGGCGAUACGGGCAGACUUGAGUACUGCAGGGGAGACUGGAAUUCCUGGUGUAGCGGUGAAAUGCGCAGAUAUCAGGAGGAACACCGGUGGCGAAGGCGGGUCUCUGGGCAGUAACUGACGCUGAGGAACGAAAGCGUGGGUAGCGAACAGU